GCCUGGGUGGCUCAGUUGGUUAAGCGUCUGACUUCGGCUCAGGUCAUGAUCUCACGGUUUGUGGGUUCAAGCCCCGCGUCGGGCU
rnacentral:tRNA from 1 species